UAUCUCACAAAAAUCGGAAAUGACGUCACACCGGGUAAACAUUCUUCCGGCGUAGUCAUUUUUGUAUUGCCGUCAAUGCAAAAAUGGAUCGUUUCUUCGCCACUUCCCUGGUGGGUUUUCCGAAAUUGCGAUUCGAAGAUGUGCAGAAGAUUGUGGAGACACACUCAGCAACACCACAGCCCAGGCUGACAAAGGGGUACAAGUUUUUUGUGGAGGAGUUUGUACACAAUUAUCAAGAUCACCCUGGAGGCUGUUGGACAACUGGGUCUCUCAGAGCUGUAGCUUUGCUGCGGGCAAAGGCUUCUGUAGCCAUAUAACCGCUCUGCUGUUCCAGACAGCGCAUUAUGUGCAGCUGGGCCUUGAUGUGGUUCCACCUUCCCUGGCCUGUACCAGUCAACCACAGAUGUGGCAUCGACCUCGAACCCACGUGUGCUGUUGUGUCCUCUGUUCAAAUCAUACACUUCAGUAUUUUUCUAGAGUAUAUGAGCAUUUCCUGUAUUGUUGUUCGCCUCAGGGAAUCCAUCCAGAGGCUGUGAGUGACCUGGUGGUGAAGAAACCCAAGUCGGUGGGGAAGACUGGAGUCAAGUCCACACUCUACAGAGCGUAUGCUGAGGGAAUAUCCAGCUUGGAGUUGGUACCAUCUCAGCUGUGCUGACCUGGAAGAUGUCAGCAAUGACUUGUUCUUUAAGGCCAGUUGCUACUCUACAACAGUAGAUGAAAAACUCAUCAAUGGCUGGAAUCUUCCUUGAAGGGCUUGGUUUUGGA